GGCCCUGUAGCGCAGAGGUUAGCAUGUCCGCCUACGAAGCUGAACGCCUGGGUUCGAAUCCUGGCGGGACCA
rnacentral:tRNA from 1 species